ACAAAAACCAUGCAACGCUCUUCAGCCUG
rnacentral:piRNA from 1 species